rnacentral:rRNA from 1 species
AUGAAGUUCUUACUCUUUCUAUUGUUUGGAAAGAUCCCUCUGGAAUUACGACCUUUACCACAACGGUGCCGUCCAUGGAUCAAAUUAUUUCGUGGAUUGGAUUUCACUUGCCUGUCUACGGUUCCCUUGCGUAUGCUCGGGAUAGGUGUUUAGUAUAAAUGUUUCAUUGUAUUAUUAAGUAUUCUCCUUUAG